GGGGAUGAAAGGAUUUCGACAGGGUUGUUGAACCUUGGUCAGCGAGUAGUGGAGUUGCACCACUUAAAAAGUAACAGCUUAAAAUUAACUGACAAAAAUACUUCAGUUGCUCUUGCUGCUUAAUUAGCGGCUUGCGUCCUCAUACAGAGUGCCACGGCUGUAUGCAGGGCGUCGACUUAGUGGCGAACAUGAACGGAAGAGCUUCUCGGCUUCCGUCAGGAAUAAGAGAAUACCGUAGGCCGAAGGCUGUUUGCCGCCGUCGGUUGAGGGGAUAACCCAAAAGACAAACUACACUCGUAGAGCCCUUGGCAAGAUGAUUUUGGACGCGAGUUCAAUUCUCGCCAUCUCCACCA
rnacentral:tmRNA from 1 species